UACGGGGGGGGCAAGCGUUGUUCGGAAUUACUGGGCGUAAAGGGCUCGUAGGUGGCCAACUAAGUCAGACGUGAAAUCCCUCGGCUUAACCGGGGAACUGCGUCUGAUACUGGAUGGCUUGAGUUCGGGAGAGGGAUGCGGAAUUCCAGGUGUAGCGGUGAAAUGCGUAGAGAUGUGGAGGAACACCUGUGGCGAAGGCGCCUUGCUGGCCGAUUUCUGACGCUGAGGCGCGAAAGCGUGGGGAGCAAACAGG
rnacentral:rRNA from 1 species